ACCCUUGGAACCAAAGUGGGAAGGACCUUAUCAAGUACUCCUGACCACCUACACAGCAGCUAAAGUAGAGGGACUAAUUCCGUGGAUACACCAUACUCGCCUGAAGAAGGUGACUCAACCACUUUGGACUGCAGAGACCAGGGGACCCCUCCGAGUGGCGCUCCGAAGGAAGCAGUAACAUGAGGGACGUUAAAAGAUUAAUAAUGGUGUUGUUGAAACUACUGCUAGGAGGGGGAGGGGAAGCCAUACAUAACAUAGAUGUUAGAACUAACAUGUGGGUUACUUGGGCUAACCAAACUAACCAAGAGUCCUUCUGCCUCGCAUUACAAUCAGCCUCAGACCCCUUCCGAACAUGCCUUAUUGGGGUUCCAUGGGGUUUUCAGUGGUCUGUAUUCCAAAAUUAUGUGAGCAACACUGUGAGCUUAUCUGCGAACCUCACAACUCUAUGUGGUAUGCUGGGGAUAAGCCCAGGAUCCACUCUGACUUGCCCGAAGUACAAAGCAAAUACGGGGGCAGAAGAUGCCUUUCGUAUGAGUGUUAUAAUUAACAGUUUGAAUAUUAGCCGUCCAGACCCAGAAGAGUUAGAUUUGUUGGGAGCGGUAGUGCAUAGCGAAUCCAGACGUGACCCAAAUAGAACGCGGUGUUUUCGCUUUGGAGGCAAAACAGCGACGAGUGCAGCCUCCAUGGCUCAGUAUUGGGGUAAAAAUGAGUUAGAACUGUGGAGGACCAUGAAUCGCAUAAACCACGCCUCGACCUUCACCUAUGUGUCUGGAAGUGGCCUCCCUUGUGAAGAAGAAACAGAUAAUGUGUGGAAUAACAGUACGCAAGCAAAACAACUGCCACCUGGGAUAUUCCUCAUAUGUGGGGAUCGAGCAUGGCCUGGUAUACCAGUAAGGCCAGUAGGUGGGCCCUGUUAUCUUGGCAAGUUAACCCUGUUUGCUCCCAGAAUGAGAGACCUUCUGAACGACACUGUUUGGAAAAGCAGUAGGUCACACAGGGGUGGCAGGAGCGUACACCAAUUAUCGGAAACUUGCAAUAGUCAGAUUACAUUUUGGAAUUCU
rnacentral:lncRNA from 1 species